rnacentral:lncRNA from 1 species
AUAAUAAUAAUUUAAAAAAAAAAAUCCGCCGUUAAAGCGACGCGCGUUUGGAGAUGGAGGGACCCUGGCGAGAUAAAUCCUGUGGCCUUACAUCAGAGAACAAUGCGUAGACCACUGGUGCCCUAUGGAUUUAAGAACGAUUUCUGUACGACAGACAAGUUUCCUAUGACCCUGACCUGGAUAAAUGGGGUCUGGAUACAUGGUGAGGGAAGGGAUGAGAGUGCUGGCGGAGGUGAGACUGGUUCAGGUGGCUUUAGGAGAACGAAACAACCC